UACGUAGGGUACGAGCGUUGUCCGGAAUUACUGGGCGUAAAGAGCUCGUAGGUGGUUUGUCGCGUUGUUCGUGAAAUGCCACAGCUUAACUGUGGGCGUGCGGGCGAUACGGGCAGACUGGAGUACUGCAGGGGAGACUGGAAUUCCUGGUGUAGCGGUGGAAUGCGCAGAUAUCAGGAGGAACACCGGUGGCGAAGGCGGGUCUCUGGGCAGUAACUGACGCUGAGGAGCGAAAGCGUGGGGAGCGAACAGG
rnacentral:rRNA from 1 species